CUCGUUCAAGUGCUGAUCUAUUUUUAAAUUGAAUAUUUAUUUUUAUUCAAAUAUAUUGAAAUUAAUAUGGAAACAAAAGUUCAUAAAUAUUAGUUUGAAAAGCCAUGUCAGAAGAGUAGGAUUAAAGACAAAGUAUUAAGAGUAAUUGGGCUGUUCCUGAACAAUAUUGAAUAUAAAUAUUCAAAAAUAUGAUAAACUGCAUAUCCUACUAAGUAGAUCAAUACCAAAAUUCCAUUAGAGAAAUAAGUUAAAAUUAUGUUUUACUUGUAUAAUUUUCUUGCUAUUUGUCCACCAUUAUUUGUGACUUAGAAAUUAAAUAGUCAAAAAGAAUUUAGUACCAGUUUUUAUUUCCCAAAAAAAAUAAUUGUUAAAUAAUUACAUAUUGCUUAAGAUACAGUAUAUUAUAUUGUGUUUAUAGUUGAUAAUUCUAGUUCUUAGUUGUUUAUAGUUGAUAAUUAACAAUAUUUCUGAUGUUAGAUAUUAUAUUAGAUAAAAAAUUUAAUUACCAACAGCUACCUACCUAUGUAGCUGCAGAUUAUUAUAUUGUGUAGUAGGUACUGUAUAAUUCUUUAGUUCAAGAAACAAAUAUCAGUACAAGUAUAUAACCAAAAAAAUGUUGAUGCAAAUUCUUUGUAUAACAUACGUACCCCUAUGGUAUUCAACUUUUCAUUGUUCUUUUAAUUAGAUACACAAUAAGCACAUUAAUUCGUUUAUUAAACAACCAAAACUCUAACUACUUAAAUUCACAAUAUAAAUAUCACAAUAAAUGUAUAAGCUUUGA
rnacentral:lncRNA from 1 species